CGUGUGGGCGUGGUGAUGUUGCAGAGCGGUGUGGGCUCUCUAUCUCCCUGACUCUUUGGCCCCUUCUGACACCUCUGCUGAUCCCCGCG
rnacentral:snoRNA from 1 species